rnacentral:rRNA from 1 species
UACGUAGGGUGCAAGCGUUAAUCGGAAUUACUGGGCGUAAGCGUGCGCAGGCGGUGAUGUAAGACAGAUGUGAAAUCCCCGGGCUCAACCUGGGAACUGCAUUUGUGACUGCAUCGCUGGAGUGCGGCAGAGGGGAUGGAAUUCCGCGUGUAGCAGUGAAAUGCGUAGAUAUGCGGAGGAACACCGAUGGCGAAGGCAAUCCCCUGGGCCUGCACUGACGCUCAUGCACGAAAGCAUGGGGAGCAAACAGG